rnacentral:rRNA from 1 species
AGGAAAGCAGGGGAUCGCAAGACCUUGCGCUCUUGGAGCGGCCGAUGUCUGAUUAGCUAGUUGGUGAGGUAAAGGCUUACCAAGGCGACGAUCAGUAGCUGGUCUGAGAGGACGACCAGCCACACUGGGACUGAGACACGGCCCAGACUCCUACGGGAGGCAGCAGUGGGGAAUUUUGGACAAUGGGGGAAACCCUGAUCCAGCCAUGCCGCGUGAGUGAAGAAGGCCUUCGGGUUGUAAAGCUCUUUCAGCCGGAACGAAACGGUCACGGCUAAUACCUGUGAUCACUGACGGUACCGGAAGAAGAAGCACCGGCUAACUACGUGCCAGCAGCCGCGGUAAUACGUAGGGUGCAAGCGUUAAUCGGAAUUACUGGGCGUAAAGCGUGCGCAGGCGGUUUUGUAAGUCAGAUGUGAAAUCCCCGGGCUUAACCUGGGAACUGCGUUUGAAACUACAAAGCU